rnacentral:snoRNA from 1 species
CUGGCCUAGAAACAUUACGGAUGUGGCUGCUGUGCCACAUAUAUGUCAGUACGUGGUGUAGCAGAGAGGUGAGAGGCUCAGUGUUCGGACCUAUGAACAUUUGAAUGAUUAGUGGCCUAAUAUC